UGAAUGUGUUUGCUCUUGCUUCUCUAGUUCUUUUAAUUGUGAUGUUAGGGUGUCAAUUUUAGAUCUUUCCUGCUUUCUCUAAUAGGGACAAUAUCUACCUCAUAGUGUUUUAAAAUAGCUAGCAGUGUCUGGCACAUAGUAGAUAUUCAAUAAAUGUUAGUUCUUGGUCCCCAGGCCACAGGUUGGGACCCCUGUCAUACAGCCAUGGGAUAAAAAUAGUGAAACUCUAUUGAUUUAUUGGACUUGUAUUAGGGUAAACCGUAUGAAACUGCCUUUGGUCAAAUAUUGAUCAAAAUGGUUGCAAAUCAACAAUAUUAUCUGGUUCAAGGUAAUGCUAUCUUUAAGCUAAUGGGAAAACCUCCUCUUAUGAUCAAAAUCAAUUAAUAUGCAUUUAUUCCAUAUUCAGGACUGCACCAGAUGUUUCAAAUCAGUGGUUAGAAAGCUUUUAGGUGUUGCAAUCUCUUUUAGUAUUAAAAAUUAGGAAGACCUCAAGGAAUGCUGUUGAAUUUUUAGAGUCUGUCUCUUUUAGAGCGUGCUUAACCAUGCUUCCCUAAAGUGAAUAACUCUUAUAAAUAAUUUUUAUAUUUUAUUUACUAUAUGAAGGAAAUAAUGUAUACAGUGGUCCAUUUCCAAGACAAAGUGCCUUGAAUAGGCUUAAGUCAGCAAACUACAGAAGAAACAGGAUAUACUAGGCCCCUGCUGGAUAGCUGAUGCCUGCUUGUCAGCAACCCCCUUUCCCCCCUUAGCUGCCCUCACCCAAACCAAAGAAGUUUAGUCUAAGAUGAAAGUUUACUAGCCUGCAAAAUAGCUCACUUUUGUCUGUUCUAUUCAGCCUGCCCAGCUAUUUAGGUCGUAAGUCAAAUACUUGAAAAGCCUCUGAGCUAAAUAGGAUUGCAAUGUAUUGUGGGCUGCAACAAAAUGCAGCAGGACAACCCUAAAGAAAACACUUAGGCCGGGCGCAGUGGCUCACGCCUGUAAUCCCAGCACUUUGGGAGGCUGAGGCGGGUGGAUCAUGAGGUCAGGAGAUCCAGACCAUCCUGGCUAACAUGGUGAAACCCCGUCUCUACUAAAAAUACAAACAAUUAGCCAGGCAUGGUGGCGGGCACCUGUAGUCCCAGCUACUCGGGAGGCUGAGGCAGGAGAAUAGCGUGAACCCGGGAGGUGGAGCUUGCAGUGAGCCGAGAUCGCGCCACUGCACUCCAGCCUGGGCGACAGAGCAAGACUCCAUCUCAAAAAAAAAAAAAAGAGAAAACACUUAAAGCCCCUACACAACAACUGAUAGGUGACAUCCGGGAAGACUGUGACCCCCAUAGUACCCAGCCUAUGAGGAACCAGGGACUACUACAAGCAAUUUAGGGGAUAAAUUGCUUGUUGUAACCAUGCUGGGGGUGCCUGAGCAUCAGACACCUGAUCUUGCAAGACCAUCAUUAAAAGUCUCACUUUCAGUGUUCUCAAGGUCUCUGAGUCCCUUCUUUGGGUUUGGACAGGUGAGUUUAUUUCUCAGGACCUGGUGGCCUAUAUGGGGAACUCUGCCUGCAUGGAGUGGGACUCCAGCCGAGAGGGGAGAUGCAUCCCACCUGAUUUAGGUGGCCUGCUCUGCCCAAGUGUCUUGUCUCCCUGCAGAACCCAUAGACAAACCUGAGACUGUUAUUCAGGAGAUGAUGAAAGUGACACAGGGAGAAAAGCUGGCACCCCAGCAACUGGGCAACCUCGUGUUUGAGCCAAGGUAGGAAAACUGGACUAUGUGUACUGCCUUGGUGGUUCAGCAUUUUCAGAGGUUGAGUGUGUGUGACUGAGAUGUAUCUAAGAUACGAAGCGAGUGCAGAGUCCCAAUCCGUGGUUAUGUCCUCCCACAAGGGAAACAGCUGGAGACAGAUGAAGUGAUUCUCAGGGCAUGCAGGAAACCUCCAGUGCGGGGGCUGAGUACACAGGGAAAAGCUCAGACACAGAGACUAACUGAAAAUGUGAAAUAAGAAUUCUAGGCCUAGGGAACAGAGGAAAGAGGGAACUGAAGAGACUCCCUCUGAAAUUCCCCCAGAGGGAAAAGCAGAAGAUGAUAAAAUAUUGCUGUUUUAUCUGGCCCAAAGAGCCCAUUCAUCAGCCUUUGGGCUCUUGGCCUAAGUUUGGCUCAGAUGAGGAUUGAGUGUGCCAAGCUUUAAUUCUUUAUGUGAAUAAUAAAACCCCAUCCUCACAAGAGGAGAUGGGUUAUGCUCUUUGUUGGAUUAGUGAAUUAACCCUCAUGCUCCCCCUUAAAGAGGAAGAAAAAGAGCGUAAUAAAUAGCCUUCUCUCAAUGAAAAGCUCUGGGAUCCCCUAACAUGCUUGCCCCAUCUCAAACAUCUCACAAAGUAGAGGACAGGGAGAUCAGAGGGCAGCAGGAAGGCCAGAGUAAGAGUAAUCUGGGGGUCAUGAAGGAGCUAAACCCAAUGCUCCUUUAAACCCUUAUCCAAACUUGAGGAAAGAAUUAGAAAAAUGUAAGAGAGACAUUGAGAAUUUCCCCGUUCCUUCUAAACAGCAGAUGUCUAACAGGUACCCUCUUAGAGAAGUCCCUGUGGGACAGGGAGAAGUUGGAUUUGUGAGUGCACUUCUAAAAAGUACUGAGGUUAGGAAUUUUAAAAAGAGAAUGAGGCCACUCUUGGAAGAUCACCUCGGUUUAUCAGAGCAGCUAGAUUAAUUGUUAGGACCCAAUUUUUAUACUUGGGCUGAGAUAAUGUCAAUCAUGAAUAUUCUGUUUACUGGGGAAGAGGGGAAUGAUUAGAAGGACAGCCAUGACCAUUUGGGAGAGACAGCAUCCGCCCGGGCAAGGAGUCCUGCCAGCUGAGCAGAAAUUCCCAAAUGCACAUCCCGGAUGGGAUAAUAAUGACCCCAGGAAAUGGGUUCAAAUACAAGUCCUUAGGGAGCUAAUAAUUAGAGGGAUUAGAGUCCACUCCUAGGGCACAGAAUGUCCCAAAAGCAUUUGAGAACCAACAAGAAAAAGAGGAGAUUCCUCCUGCUUCUGCAGAGGCUCAGGGAUCAAAUGAGAAAAUAUUCAGGAUUAGAUCCAGAGGACCCAGUAGGGCAAGGCCUCUUAGAGGUUAAUUUUGUGACUAAAAGCUAGCCUGAUAUUACUAAGAAGCUGCAAAAGACUGAUGGAUGGAAUGAGAAAACGAUUGAGGAAUUACUGAGGGAAGCUCAGAAGGUUUUUGUAAGGAGAGAAAGUGUUAAGCUGCUGACCCUGAAGGCAGGGGAAAGCCAGCCAUGCAGCUGUGUGUGGGAGCUGACUGCUGAAAGUUGUUGAUGAAAGCUGCUGCUGAAAUGACACGGGGGAGCCAGGGCACACCACAGCUCGGCUCAGGCACAGAGAGAGAAAGAGGAAGAAACCGAGUAUGAGGGAGAAAGGAAACAUGAUGACAGAGAGAGAGACAGAAGAAGAAAAUGAGUGAGAGAAAGACUGAAAAAGACAGAAAUUAAAGAGAUACACAGAAGGUGAGACUGGAGAGAGAGAGAUAAUGUAAAAGGAAGAGUACAAGAGGAAGAAAGAGAAAGAGAGAGAAUGGCAAUAAAUGACAGGAGGCAAAGAGACAAAAGUACAAGUAAGCAGUAGCUGCCACGGCCCUGCUCGUAGAGGAGAGUAGAAAGCUGACCUUCAUCAGGGCCCUGGUAGUGAGCACCCUACGUUAGGUCAGGAAUAUAUUAAAUCAAAGAGCUGGAAGAUGCUUGACUGGUUCCCAAAUUUUAAAAUAUGAAGCCAUAUUAUUAUAAAAAGAUAAUUUGUCUUAACAAUAGAUACUUGCUUGAAUUCAGCCAGUUUCUUAUGAAAAGGAGAGGAAAAUGAGGAGGCAUCAAACCAUAACUGUUUAGAUAUCAGAGUGUCAAACUCACCUUAGAGCAAACCUUAAAGAAACUCCACUACAUGAUGGGAUGAGUCUGUUUGUGGAUGGGUCAUCCCAAGUGAUAUGCAGCAUAUCAUAUGUUAUGAUAGCAUAACACAAUGGCUAUGCUGUCAUUGAUGGAAACAAACAAUCUUUAUGUGAAAAAGGUAGAUUACCCAAUAACUAGUCAGACCAAACCUCUGAAUUAUGUAGGCCCUAAAGCUCCUAGAAGGCCAAGAAGGCGCUAUAUAUAGUGAUUCCAAAUAUUCCCUAUGGAGUGCUACACACCUUUGGAAAGAUCUGGACAGAGCAGGGCCUAAUAAAUAGCAGGGGGAAAAAAUUAAUACAUGGAGAACUGGUUAAAAACGUUUUAGAAAGCCUCCUGCUUCCAGCAGAGGUAACCACAGUUCAUGUAAAUGGCCAUCAGAAAGGAAACACUAUAGAUGCUGUAGGAAACAGGUGUGGGGAUAAAGCUGCUAAGCAAGCCUCCCUGGAGGAAGAAGUUAAACUGUUUAGCCUAAUCCCAGAUAUUCCUAGGAUGGUAUUCAGACCCUAAUUUUCUAAAAAGGAGGAAGAGCUGAGCAAGAUACAGGCCACCCAAACUGAGGAUGGGAGGUGGAUGCUCCUUGAUGGAAGAGAAGUAAGCAAACCCAUAAUGAGAGAACUGAUGUCCAAACUGCAUAGGAGAAGUUAUUGGGGUCCCCAGGCCACGUGUGAUGCAAUACCAAGAAUUAUGUGUGUAUAGGGAUUUAUACCCUUGCUAAAUAAGUGUGUGGGGGUUGUGCGACCUGCCAGACGAUAAACAAAAAGGUAGUUAGAAAACAGACUACCAGAGGGAGACCUCUUGGGUUAAGGCCAUUUCAAAGCAUUCAAGUAGAUUUUACAGAAAUGCCCAAAAUAGGGAGACUAAAGUAUCUACUGGUAAUGGUAGACCACCUCUCAGGCUGGGUGGAGGCCUUCCCCCUCCCAACUGCCACUGCCGGGAAUGUGGUCAAAAUAAUUUUAGAACAAAUUAUACCCAGAU
rnacentral:lncRNA from 1 species